rnacentral:rRNA from 1 species
UACAGAGGUUUCAAGCGUUGUUCGGAUUCAUUGGGCGUAAAGGGUGCGUAGGUGGCGGGGUUAGUCUGGUGUGAAAUCUCGGAGCUCAACUCCGAAACUGCACUGGAUACUGGCUUGCUUGAGUACUGGAGAGGAGAUUGGAAUUUACGGUGUAGCAGUGAAAUGCGUAGAUAUCGUAAGGAAGACCAGUGGCGAAGGCGAGUCUCUGGGCCGUUACUGACACUGAGGCACGAAGGCCAGGGGAGCAAACGGG